rnacentral:rRNA from 1 species
GACGAACGCUGGCGGCGUGCCUAAUACAUGCAAGUUGAGCGCUGAAGGUUGGUACUUGUACCAACUGGAUGAGCAGCGAACGGGUGAGUAACGCGUGGGGAAUCUGCCUUUGAGCGGGGGACAACAUUUGGAAACGAAUGCUAAUACCGCAUAAAAACUUUAAACACAAGUUUUAAGUUUGAAAGAUGCAAUUGCAUCACUCAAAGAUGAUCCCGCGUUGUAUUAGCUAGUUGGUGAGGUAAAGGCUCACCAAGGCGAUGAUACAUAGCCGACCUGAGAGGGUGAUCGGCCACAUUGGGACUGAGACACGGCCCAAACUCCUACGGGAGGCAGCAGUAGGGAAUCUUCGGCAAUGGACGAAAGUCUGACCGAGCAACGCCGCGUGAGUGAAGAAGGGUUUCGGAUCGCAAAACUCUGUUGGUAGAGAAGAACGUUGGUGAGAGUGGAAAGCUCAUAAAGUGACGGUAACUACCCAGAAAGGGACGGCUAACUACGUG